UGACAGUUCAAUUUUCUAAAAGAAAAAAAAUUCAGAGUUCUGCGAGGAGCAUUUAAUAAUACGUAAUUGCUUGUACAAAUUGUUUGUCUGAUGAGAUAUAACAGCAAGUGAAUUUUAUGGGAAAACCGAUAACCUUUAUCACUUGCAACGUAUACAUUAUGAAAUAGGUCGGUAUCUGUCCUUAAAAGUAUAAUUUCUGAUGCACAUCUCUGAAGAGAGGGAUUGAAUAACGGGGCAACUUUUUCCGAACUUAAGUAUGCACCACCUAAUAAUACCUUUAGAAUAUCUGAAUCUUCUCAAGGGACCGACAAGAUCCAUUCUCCUGCCUGUUUUGCGACAUUUGUGAAAGGCGAAGACGAGGUAAAAAAUGUUGAAAGCCACAAUUACUGUGAUGUUUGUACCUGACAGCGAUUGUUUCUCGUACUCCU